rnacentral:rRNA from 1 species
UGAGUGAUGAAGGGUUYCGGCUCGUAAAACUCUGUUGUUGAAGAAGAAGAGGCGUGAGAGUAACUGUUCACGCCGUGACGGUAUUCAACCAGCAAGUCACGGCUAACUACGUGCCAGCAGCCGCGGUAAUACGUAGGUGGCAAGCGUUAUCCGGAUUUAUUGGGCGUAAAGCGAGCGCAGGCGGUUCRUUAAGUCUGAUGUGAAAGCCUUCGGCUUAACCGAAGGAGGGCAUCAGAAACUGGUGRACUUGAGUGCAGAAGAGGGCAGUGGAACUCCAUGUGUAGCGGUG